ACUCCUACGGGAGGCAGCAGUGGGGAAUAUUGCACAAUGGGGGAAACCCUGAUGCAGCCAUGCCGCGUGUGUGAAGAAGGCCUUCGGGUUGUAAAGCACUUUCAGUAGGGAGGAAGGUAGUGUAGUUAACACCUGCAUUAUUUGUACGUUACCUACAGAAGAAGCACCGGCUAACUCCGUGCCAGCAGCCGCGGUAAUACGGAGGGUGCGAGCGUUAAUCGGAAUUACUGGGCGUAAAGCGCAUGCAGGCGGCCUGUUAAGUCAGAUGUGAAAGCCCGGGGCUUAACCGUCGGAAUUGCAUUUGAAACUGGCAGGCUAGAGUCUUGUAGAGGGGUUAGAAUUUCAGGUGUAGCGGUGAAAUGCGUAGAGAUCUGAAGG
rnacentral:rRNA from 1 species